rnacentral:tRNA from 1 species
CCUUAGCUCAGUUGGUUAGAGCAAUCGGCUCAUAACCGAUCGGUCAAAGGUUCGAGUCCUUUAGGGUCC